rnacentral:rRNA from 1 species
AACGAGCGUUAGCGGCGUGCCUAACACAUGCAAGUCGCACGAGAAAGGGCUUCGGCCCCGGUAAAGUGGCGCACGGGUGAGUAACACGUAGGUAACCUACCCUCGAGUGGGGGAUAACCCUCCGAAAGGAGAGCUAAUACCGCAUGAGACCACGGCUCCCUAGGGAGCUGAGGUCAAAGCGGGCCUCUGCUUGCAAGCUCGCGCUUGAGGAUGGGCCUGCGGCCUAUCAGCUAGUUGGUGGGGUAAAAGCCCACCAAGGCAGAGACGGGUAGCUGGUCUGAGAGGAUGAACAGCCACACUGGAACUGAGACACGGUCCAGACUCCUACGGGAGGCAGCAGUGGGGAAUCUUGCGCAAUGGGCGAAAGCCUGACGCAGCGACGCCGCGUGAGUGAUGAAGGCCUCGGUUGUAAGCUCUGUGGAGAGGGAAGGAAUAAGGGCGAGCUAAUACCUCGUUCGAUGACGGUACCUCUUUAGUCAAGCACCGGCUAACU